GAUGAACGCUGGCGGCGUGCCUAAUACAUGCAAGUCGAGCGAACAGACGAGGAGCUUGCUCCUCUGACGUUAGCGGCGGACGGGUGAGUAACACGUGGAUAACCUACCUAUAAGACUGGGAUAACUUCGGGAAACCGGAGCUAAUACCGGAUAAUAUAUUGAACCGCAUGGUUCAAUAGUGAAAGACGGUUUUGCUGUCACUUAUACAUGGUUCCGCGCCGCAUUAGCUAGUUGGUAAGGUAACAGCUUACCAAGGCAACGAUGCGUAGCCGACCUGAGAGGGUGAUCGGCCACACUGGAACUGAGACACGGUCCAGACUCCUACGGGAGGCAGCAGUAGGGAAUCUUCCGCAAUGGGCGAAAGCCUGACGGAGCAACGCCGCGUGAGUGAUGAAGGUCUUCGGAUCGUAAAACUCUGUUAUUAGGGAAGAACAAAUGUGUAAGUAACUAUGCACGUCUUGACGGUACCUAAUCAGAAAGCCACGGCUAACUACGUG
rnacentral:rRNA from 1 species